GAGUAAGAGAGAAGCAGUUUUGAACUUGCUGUCUGUUUAGCGACUGACUGGAAUACAUAUUUAGAUAACUAGUUGUUUGGGUUUUUUAAACAUUUUUUAUUAGAUAUUUUCUUCAUUUACAAUUCAAAUGCUAUACCAAAAGUCCCUUAUACCCUCCUCCCACCCUGCUCUCCAAUCCACCCACCCCACUUCCUUGCCCCAGUAUUCCCCUGUAUUGGGACAUAUAAUCUUUGCAAGACCAAGGGCCUCUCCUAGUUUAAGCCUUGUAAAUAUUUUUUCCCUUAAAAGUAUUUUUGCAAAAGGAAAUACUGGAGACAGAAAGUAAUAUAAGAUGGAAAAUGUGUUUUAUAACUCUAUUAGUAAAAUUACUGUAUAAUAAAGAAUUCAUAGGUCAUAGAUAAUCUUGGUUUAUUGAUAUCUGUUGCAGUAAAUCUCCACCCAAAUAUUCCCCGGCAAUGAAAACAGAACUCAGUUAAUAUGAAUACAUGCUGUGCGCCUAGAUUGGGCAGGUCUACCACUACACUACCAUCUUCCACAUCUAUGAGACCCAUUAGAACUUGCAGUUUCUCCAGGCCAUGUGCUUCUGCUCUGCUUUUCUUCUUCCUCCUCCUCCUCUGUGUCCUCUUCCUCUUCCAUUUUCUCCUCCUUCUCUCCCCCACCUUCCUCUCCACCUUCCCUCUCUCUGCCCAAUCAUCAGCUCUCCUUUAUUUUACAAAUUAAGAUGGGAAGCAGGUUUACAGGAACUCACCUGAGUGCUGACUCAGUCCUUGUUCACAACCCCUCACAGGAGAAUGGAAUUAACAUCAAAUAUAGUUAGCCCCUAGGUUAUCCAUAACAGAUAUCUUUAAAAUUUUUUUCAGUGAUAAUUAGGAUAUAUUGAAUUUGUCUUUUACUAAUAUUUAAGUUGCAUUUUUAGAUUUCUCUGUGGUUUCAAAUGAGUGUUCAUAGCGCUAUUGUAUAUAUACACAAAUUUGUUUUUCUAGCUUGCAACUUGACGUUUUAUAAAAUUGGUGGUGGUUAGUUAUAAGGAUUUUUAGAUAUGUAUUUUUGUAGGUUUAAAAAGAAUUAACCUUUUUUUUUUUCCUAGUCCAAACCUCUGAUACCUCUUCAAAAAGAAACAGACACAGAGACUCAGAAAAUGGUGCUUACUAAUUACAUGUUCCCUCAGCAGCCACGGACUGAAGACGGUAGGAGCCGAAGACGGCUUUCUCUCCUUCUCCUUCACUAAGUACCAAGAGAGUUCUUAGCUCCAAAACGUUGUAUUAUUUUAUUGAGGGUUUGGAAAAUGGAUUAGAAAGUUUUCAAUAAUAGUUGGAUGAUAAGUAACAUCUCUGAGUUGAACUUACAAGAGUGUUUUCUUUAAGUCACAUUGAAAAUGUUAUUAUUUCUAGCUUUAUUUCAAAUAGUGUUUAAAUGUUAGGAAUGCUUGUUAACAUAGUGUGAUUAGAAAUUUGUACUAAAGUAUAGAAUGCCCUGGAAAUCUACACACUAGAUAAAGAUCAUCUGUGAAUCUAUAGUCUUUGACUAUAUGUUACUGCUAAGUUACUUCCUGAGUUUUGCCCAGCAAGAAAGAAUAUAUUAUUUCAUACUGACCACAAGUGUGUACUUGUGGAUUAGUGUGUGAAGAUAGAGGACCAAAUUAUUUUUAGUAUAUCUAAUAUACAUCAGAAAUCAUUAGAUCCCAUUAUAGAUUGUUGUGAGACAGGUCCUCUAGAAGAGCAUCUAGUCCUCUUAACCACUGAACAGUCUCUCCAGCCUCAUAUAUUCAUAUGUUGUUCUGUGUGUGUGCAUAACAUGUUUAAAAUUAAACUCAAAAUGUCUUGUAUGUAUGUAUCGAUCUAUCUUUCUAUCUUUCUUUAAGACAGUGAAAAUGGCUAUGCUAUGAAGUACUAGAAAUUAACUCAAUAUAUAAUGUUGAAGAAAAGUGUAAUUCAUUGUUAGUCUUAACACGUAUUCCGUGAGGGGCUGGAAAGAUGGCUCAGUGGUUAAGAGCAUUUUCUAUUCUUCCAGUGGACCCAGAUUCUGUCCUCAGCAUCCACUUGGCAGCUUACAGCUGUUGAUAACUCCAAUUCGAGGUGAUGAAUCCAUCUUCUGGGCAGCCAGUUACUUCCAUGCUGUCUAUGACUACCUCUAGCCUAUUCUUGAGUGCUAGCCACAGAAAUAUUUUAUUAUAUGGCCCUUUACUAAAAUAGUAUGUCAGUUUGUGAAUAGAACAUUAAAAUGGCGGGGCGUGGUGGUACAAGCCUUUAAUCCCAGCACUCGAGAGGCAGAGGCAGGCGGAUUUCUGAGUUCGAGGCCAGUACAUACACAGAGAAACCCUGUCUCGAAAAACCAAAAAAAAAAAAACC
rnacentral:lncRNA from 1 species